CCUUUUGCAUGAUUUCUUCCCGACUUUAGAAUGAUAACUUUCAAAAUUAGGGUUUUCUUCGCUUUCACACUUUAUACCGAAUGGCAUUUUUUCUUUUUCAGAUAAUUUUGAGAGGUUAAAGACAGAUUUUACCAGAUCAUCUUGGCUAUUGUCUUUUCCAAAAAUUAAAACCCGAAAUUUUUCAAUUUUUAAACUUGAUUCUUCAUCGACACCGCUCUCGUACUCUAUAGCAGUAUCGGGAUCUUCUUUGGGCAAAUCACGAUAUUGAUCCAUUGGUCUCGUAAUGUAUUAGCAUCAAGUCGUCAGUAAACUGUGAAUCUAACUAGCAAACAGUGCGAAAAGGUAUCUAUUAAAAUAUAUGUUUAAAAUGAAAGUACAUCCUUCUCUAAAUUAGGUGGUUAAAGAAUGGAGUUUAAUCAAUUUCUUUCUGGUGUGAUCAUUAAGCAAAAUGAAGACACUCACUAUAAAGGCUUAAAAAAGUUUGGAAUUGACAAAAUGUUAUGACUGGGCUUACUAGUUUGCUUUGUUAAAUAGCUUUAUUUUAACUAUGAUGGCAUCGAAUGCAAUAGUGUAGAUAGAUAGGUGCUUAUACAUUAUUUUGGAUAAUGAAAUUUUGAUGAUUG